UGGAGCUUGCAGGGGCCGGAUCCGCGCACGGCGGGGGCUUGGAGGCGGAUCCGGAGGUGGGCGGCGACGCGGGGGGCGAGGAAGGCCGGAGCGCGGCUUCCCGGGCGGAUCCAUGGCAGAGAAGAGACUGGGUGGUGAGGUUGAGAAGAAGGGAGAAAAGUGGGGCGGUGCGGCGACCCACGCAGGAGCUCGCCGGAGCCGGGUGACGAUGGACGGGCGCGGGAGACAGAAGGAUCCGGCGCGGCGGCGCGCACUCCUUGUAGUUGGAGGCGGGCCUUCAUGGCCGUGGCGCCCCUCCCCCCGCGACAGCUCAGGCAGCGGUCAGAUCCGCCCUCCCUCCCUCCCUCACUCCUCGCACUGGAAGACCUAGCCGCUGGGCCAUGGUGACCGACGGCGAUGAUGACGGUGGUGGCUACCUCGACGAUGGAUAAAAUCCGCUCCGCCCCUCCUCUUAUCCGUCGACGACCGCUUGAAUCCCGAGAGGAGAGGAGAGGAGUGGGAGAUCCAUGGCGGCGGAAAGAUCCGCGCCUGGAUCGGACCUGCUCGUCAAGGAGACCCACGCCAUGGAGCUGCUCGUCAAUGUUCCACCCUGGCACACAUCCAACAUCGCCAUGGACCAGUAGCUCAAGCCGUCUUCUUCCAGAUGGUGAUGGAGUUCCCUCACCAUCUGCAGGUCAUCAUCCUUAAGGGCUCCACCAUCUGCAGUGUCUACAGUGGACUAUUUGCAUCUUCAGUGCAAAUACCUGAUUGUAUAUGGAUGGAUUGUAGGGUCUAACCACCUUGAUUUGAUUCGGGCUGGAGCAGCAGCAGCAGGUCCUUCCUUCCAUGGAGGGCAUCCACAACAUGACCCGCACAAGGAGCUCCAAGCAGACAAAGCACAGGUUUCUUUGUUUGUAAAUUAAGCAGUCUGGUAGAUUUGGAAAGGAGGAACAGGGUACUGAACUUUUAUAUAUCUGCACAAGGAAUACUAUGUUAUGUAAGAACAUGGCGGUGCAGUCACCCGAGGUGAAGAAGCUCUGUCACCUACCUCUACAUCCUCCACUAGGCUGACAAGCACAACUGCUAACAAGUAUGCUAAUCCACCCUCAUCUGCAUCGCUUCCUCCUAGCCUGUGAUUUAUGACAUGGAGCAUGUUGUUCUGUUAUCAUAUACACGAAUCUGUCCAUGCUUAAAUGUGGUCAUAGGUUGUGGAAUAGGAGAAACAAUAUAAUGUUCUUUAGCAGAUGCAAACCUGUCCAUGCCUUAUUUGGACCAAUAAUUACUGGUGUUGCCUAUUUGAUAUGUAAACAUAUUUUUUUGGAUGUCUCAGAAAAAUGCCAUGCUACUACAUAAGUUUGAAUCAAACAAAUUAAAUUUGUAAUAAGAUCCCUGAAAGUAAUUAAGUGCUUCUUGAAUGCAUGGAAACAACAAGUUAGAUAUCUCAGAGGUACUAUGUCAUAUAUUCUGAAAGUGGUGCACAUGGAUAUGUAUUCUUGGUUAGCUUUAUGUUCCAUUUCUGUUGUACAUGCUCCAAGAGUUAAUGUGUUAUUCUGAAAGGA